rnacentral:guide_RNA from 1 species
UACAAAUCAACAAAUUCGUGCGUAUAUUAAGUGAGUGUAGAAGUGAAUGAUUUAGUU